rnacentral:rRNA from 1 species
CCUACGGGAGGCUGCAGUGGGGAAUAUUGGACAAUGGGCGAAAGCCUGAUCCAGCCAUGCCGCGUGUGUGAAGAAGGCCUUCGGGUUGUAAAGCACUUUCAGUGGGGAAGAAAGCCUUGGGGCUAAUACCCUCGAGGAAGGACAUCACCCACAGAAGAAGCACCGGCUAACUCCGUGCCAGCAGCCGCGGUAAUACGGAGGGUGCGAGCGUUAAUCGGAAUUACUGGGCGUAAAGCGCGCGUAGGCGGUCUGAUAAGCCGGUUGUGAAAGCCCCGGGCUCAACCUGGGAACGGCAUCCGGAACUGUCAGGCUAGAGUGCAGGAGAGGAAGGUAGAAUUCCCGGUGUAGCGGUGAAAUGCGUAGAGAUCGGGAGGAAUACCAGUGGCGAAGGCGGCCUUCUGGACUGACACUGACGCUGAGGUGCGAAAGCGUGGGUAGCAAACAGGAUUAGCUACCCCGGUAGUC